UGUUCAUCGUCUUCCAUUUCAGGCCGAAUAGGGCAACAGCUGCGAAAAUUGAAAGAACCCUUUUUUAUCACAGGAAUUUGAAGCUCCAAAUUCCCCUGGUUGAUGUGUAGCAAUUUUAGUGCUUUGGCAAUUGAAAAGUUGGAGUCUUUGUUCUUUCUUCCUUGAUCUUGGUGCAAUUGUCCCUUUAUGGCAGAAGGCGGAAGAAUUGAGGAGACGAAAUAUGAGAACCAAAGGGAGGUGGGGAGCUCAAGGAAGAGAGCCAAAAGAGGGCUAGAGCUUUCCUCUUGUUUUCUCCUCUGUUUAUAGAAGUUUACCAUUAGACGAUGAGCUGGUUUAAUGAUUUCACAUGACAAUAAUCACCAUUUAUUGCUUUCCA